rnacentral:misc_RNA from 1 species
GAUGAAGAACGUAGCGAAAUGCGAUAAGUAGUGUGAAUUGCAGAAUUCAGUGAGUCAUCGAAUCUUUGAACGCACAUUGCGCCCUGUGGUAUUCCGCAGGGCAUGCCUGUUCGAGCGUCAUUUCAACCCUCAAGCCCCGCUUGGUGUUGGGCCCCGCCCGCCGUGGCCGGCCCUAAAGACAGUGGCGGCGCCGCCUGGCCCUCAGCGUAGUACAGCUCUCGCUCCAGGGUCCGGCGGCCGCCUGCCAGAACCCCCCCAACUCUGUGGUUGACCUCGGAUCAGGUAGGGAUACCCGCUGAACUUAAGCAUAUCAAUAAGCGGAGGA